UCUGUCUGUCUGUCUGUCUCGAAGGCAGCAUUUGCUUCAGGUUUCCAGCCUUGUGGAAGCUUCUGGAGUUCAGCUAGGGACACACCAGCAGUAUCAAGGUCUAGCUAGAUUGAGAACUGACACACGGCCAACUAUCAGAAAAGGCACUCCUUGGCAUUUUGAAGGAUCAUGGACAAAGUAAGAAAAUGGAUUCUUCAGAAGAAACUAAAGGACGGUGAAUCAUUCAUGAACUACAAGGGGCAAGGUGAGGUUGACUGGAGGUCCUUUUGCAACCUGAAUACUUUUGUUUGUUACUGGUAGUCUUAUUAGGUUCACUUUUGAUAGUGGUAUGUUUCACCCCAAACU